UACAGAGGGGGCAAGCGUUGUUCGGAAUUACUGGGCGUAAAGGCGCGUAGGCGGCCUUCUAAGUCGAACGUGAAAUCCCCGGGCUCAACCUGGGGGCUGCGCUUGAUACUGAUUGGCUUGAAUGCGGGAGAGGAUAGUGGAAUUCCCAGUGUAGAGGUGAAAUUCGUAGAUAUUGGGAAGAACACCAGUGGCGAAGGCGGCUCACUGGCCCGUAACUGACGCUGAGGCGCGAAAGCGUGGGAGCAACAGG
rnacentral:rRNA from 1 species